UAAACAGGAGCCUUAUUGUAAAGUGUAAAACACUUCACUAUUUAUUAAUGAGUUACAAACACUUAUAACCACUAAACAGGAGCCUUAUUGUAAAGUGUAAAACACUUCACUAUUUAUUAAUGAGUUACAAACACUUAUAACCACUAAACAGGAGCCUUAUUGUAAAGUGUAAAACACUUCACUAUUUAUUAAUGAGUUACAAACACUUAUAACCACUAAACAGGAGCCUUAUUGUAAAGUGUAAAACACUUCACUAUUUAUUAAUGAGUUACAAACACUUAUAACCACUAAACAGGAGCCUUAUUUUAAAGUGUAAAACACUUCACUAUUUAUUAAUGAUUUACAAACACUUAUAACCACUAAACAGGAGCCUUAUUUUAAAGUGUAAAACACUUCACUAUUUAUUAAUGAUUUACAAACACUUAUAACCACUAAACAGGAGCCUUAUUUUAAAGUGUAAAACACUUCACUAUUUAUUAAUGAUUUACAAACACUUAUAACCACUAAAUAGGAGCCUUAUUGUAAAGUGUAAAACACUUCACUAUUUAUUAAUGAGUUACAAACACUUAUAACCACUAAAUAGGAGCCUUAUUGUAAAGUGUAAAACACUUCACUAUUUAUUAAUGAGUUACAAAUGUAAGUGAUAUUUAAGACUACUUUUCUACGUAAUAUAUGAAAUAUGUAGUAUAUACAUUCAUCUUUUAUUUUAUUUUAGGAUCAGAAUGUUUCAUUGUUGAAACUGUGACAGACUGUGAUGCUGUGACAGACGAAAGUGUGCUAUAUCAUCCAUUUCAAACCUCGUCUCUCUCCUUCCCUUUCUGACCUGGACCUGGAUGCUUCAGUGCCCUGACUACAGCUAAACAGCAGAAUAGUUUAAUAAUGAGGAAAACUGACCAAAGUGGCAGGACAGUAUAAAUAAAGAUGUUAUUGACAUUU